UACGAAGGAUGCAAGCGUUAUCCGGAUUUAUUGGGUUUAAAGGGUGCGUAGGCGGACUUAUAAGUCAGUGGUGAAAUCUCGUUGCUUAACAACGAACGUGCCAUUGAUACUGUAGGUCUUGAGUACAGAUGCCGUUGGCGGAAUGUGUCAUGUAGCGGUGAAAUGCAUAGAUAUCAGGAGGAACACCGGUGGCGAAGGCGGGUCUCUGGGCCGAUACUGACACUGAGGAGCGAAAGCGUGGGGAGCGAACAGG
rnacentral:rRNA from 1 species